rnacentral:rRNA from 1 species
UGCAAGUCGUACGAGAGUUUUUAACUCAAGUGGCGGACGGGUGAGUAACACGUAAGAAUUUGCCUUUAGGAGGGGGAUAACAACUGGAAACGGUUGCUAAUACCCCAUAUGCUUUCGAGUGAAAUGGAUUUUUCCGCCUAAAGAGAAGCUUGCGGCUGAUUAGCUUGUUGGUGAGGUAAUGGCUCACCAAGGCGACGAUCAGUAUCUGGUUUGAGAGGACGAUCAGACACACUGGAACUGAGACACGGUCCAGACUCCUACGGGAGGCAGCAGUGGGGAAUUUUCCGCAAUGGGCGAAAGCCUGACGGAGCAAUACCGCGUGAGGGAUGACGGCCUAUGGGUUGUAAACCUCUUUUUUCAGGGAGGAAUAAAUGACGUGUACCUGAAGAAUAAGCAUCGGCUAACUCCGUGCCAGCAGCCGCGGUAAGACGGAGGAUGCAAGUGUUAUCCGGAAUCACUGGGCGUAAAGCGUCUGUAGGUGGUCAAAUAAGUCAACUGUUAAAUCUUAAGGCUCAACCUUGAAAUCGCAGUUGAAACUAUUAGACUAGAGUAUAGUAGGGGUAAAGGGAAUUUCCAGUGGAGCGGUGAAAUGCGUAGAGAUUGGAAAGAACACCGAUGGCGAAGGCACUUUACUGGGCUAUUACUAACACUGAGAGACGAAAGCUAGGGUAGCAAAUGGGAUUAGAUACCCCAGUAGUCCUAGCCGUAAACAAUGGAUACUAGAUGUUGAACAGAUCGACCUGUGCAGUAUCAAAGCUAACGCGUUAAGUAUCCCGCCUGGGAAGUAUGCUCGCAAGAGUG